rnacentral:rRNA from 1 species
GCAGUAGCCGCGGGAAUACGGAGGGUGCAAGCGUUAUCCGGAUUUAUUGGGUUUAAAGGGUCCGUAGGCGGACUUAUAAGUCAGUGGUGAAAGCCUGUCGCUUAACGAUAGAACUGCCAUUGAUACUGUAAGUCUUGAGUAUAUUUGAGGUAGCUGGAAUAAGUAGUGUAGCGGUGAAAUGCAUAGAUAUUACUUAGAACACCAAUUGCGAAGGCAGGUUACCAAGAUAUAACUGACGCUGAGGGACGAAAGCGUGGGUAGCGAACAGGAUUAGAUACCCCAGUAGUCCCUGUCUCUUAUAC